CAGUCUCCUUUCUAUCUCUUACUCUCUGCUUUAUCUUUUUCUCUGACAUCUCUCUACCUCUCUUUAUGACCACCCUUUUAUCCACCUUAACUCACCUCCCGGACCACCAUCUUCAACCGGAAUUUUCAUGUUCAUCAUGAACAUGAAGAAUACUCAACCCAGAAACUGACCACCACCGUCCCCCUCCCCGGAACCUCCGCAUUACCCAGAUCUCUUGUUGAAGCUCAAUCAGGAUAUUCAACUGGUGUUCAUCUGGAUGAUGAACACCUACGUAAAAUUCUUCAUAUUCCCAGAACCCUGAUGAACCCUAACCCUAUUCUUGAACCCUAACCCUUCCUAGAUGAACCCUAACCCUUCCUAGAUGAACCCUAGGGUUCAUCACAUGAACCCUAACCCUAUUAACAUGAACACUAACCCUGAUUUUUCAAAAAACACCAAACUUACCAAGAGCAAAUAACAAACCCUGACCGAUCCAUAUAUCAGCCUUCCCCACACCCCAAUCAAACCCUCGAUCUAUCGAAAUCAACCCUAACUUCUUCUAACCCUAAUCAAAUUUAAAAAAUCACAAUAGUUUAGAGCAAAAAACAAUCAGAGCAAACAACAGCCAAAGGCAAUGCAUGAAGGUAUGAAGACCAACCUACGAAAUGGAGAUGUAUUCCAGUGAAAAGGUCCUUACUAGUCAAGGAUGAAGGCUAAGCUUAGAGAAAUCAGAGUUUCAAUUUGAAACCCUAAUCCUGCUUUGAUUCAAGCUCUGGUGUGGGAUUGGAAUUGCAGCUACAAUAGAAAAGUUUUUUUUAGGGUUCUCUUUUUUCAUCCUUGUUCAUCUGAUUUCUUCUGUAUUUUUAGGUUUUUUUAGGUUAUAGAUUUUAAUUUGAUUGAUGUAUUUUAGGAUUUUUAUAUUUGAGUUUUUAUUAGAAAAUACAAUUUUUUAUCUAAUUGGAUUUGAUUCUGAUUGUAAGUUACUUUGCAGUUAAUUCUGAUUUGUAACAAUAAAUUUGAUUUGUAUAAACAUUUGAUUCAUAUUUUUCAAGCA